AUUUGUCGCAUGGCGAAUAUGGGAAAGCUCCGGCGGCAAGGAUGGGCCCGCGGCCUGUUAGCUAGUUGGUGGGGUAGUGGCCUACCAAGGCAAUGAUGGUAGCCGGUUGAGAGACCGACCGGCCAGAUUGGGACUGAGACACGGCCCAGACUCCUACGGGAGGCAGCAGUGGGGAAUCUUGCACAAUGGGCGAAAGCCUGAUGCAGCGACGCCGCGUGCGGGAUGAAGGCCUUCGGGUUGUAAACCGCUUUCAGCAGGGACGAGGCCGCAAGGUGACGGUACCUGCAGAAGAAGCCCCGGCUAACUACGUGCCAGCAGCCGCGGUAAAU
rnacentral:rRNA from 1 species